UUUUAUAGACCCCAAAUAUCUACUUUCUUCGAAUACUUACUCAAUGUUUGUCUCCUUCACUAGACUUAAAGUUCCUUGAGAGUAAGAGCCUCACCUGUCUUGUUCCCUUUUGUCUACAGCACCUAAUUCAUUGCUGUCACAUAUUAUACUCUCAAAAAAUUUGUGUGAAAUGAAUGAUGGGCUGUAACAUCUAUCAGCAGCAGCCAAAGGUGAGCAUCCCCAUGAACUGACAGCAAAGGCAGUCAGUACCUUAAGAAAUGACAGCACCUGCCUUGUUUCUUCAGGGCUUCACCAUCAAGAAUAUGACAGCAGCAGCAGCUUAAGCAGGAAAAUACACCCAAAUGUCUCACCUCUGUUUCCAUCAGAUAACUAGCUCACUGUCAUAAGCGUGGAAUAUCCUGAGAGGGACCCAGCUGAUGUGGCUCUGAUUGCAACGUCGAGGAUAGUCUUCUCCUUCAGAAGCAAUAUGGUGAAUCAACGCUUGCAGACACAGGGCAAACCCAGAAUGCUAUUUGUACAAACAAGUAUGGCUCCUCUCCUGCGGAAGUUUCCAGUGCAGAUGCCAAUGUCUUUGCCAUCCAUUUGCCCUUAAGGAAAAGGGCUUGCUGAACUCAGGCAAAGUAGGGAAUUGAGCCUGUUGACUGCCUUGGAUGCUUAGUGUCCCAUAUUCCCUGUGGCUAGCCUGGGCAGAGUCUGUGAGGGAUUAGAGCAUGAAGGCUAUAGUGCAUAAUGAGUUUAAGGAAAAAUUAGCCUGAAAAAAAUCACUUAGCUCCAAAUGUCUAGUGAUAUUUAUAGACGUUGUGGGUUAAAUUUCACUUCACUGACUUUGUCCUUUACAUUGACAAGCUAGAUAAGAUGAUAUCGUUUUAAAUAAUCAUUUGCGUUUAGGUAUUUCUCUGGCAGUUUUGUAUUACAGUUUAAAAAUAGACUAGCCUAUGUCUAUGGCUCAUGUUGGCUAUGGUAUUUUGAACUUGAUUUCUGAGGCUGCUGACAGCUUUUGAAAGAUUUAACAACUGGCAGCAAGAAAAACUUCCAUAGAAUCUCUUCUCUGAAAUUUUUUCUGCUGGAAAAAAGGGCAUCACUUAGCAGGCGUAAAUGUCUCAGUCACUGACUAUAAGUACAAAGGGCCCAGAAGCUGGAAUCUGAAGACAAACAUGGCUCCACUACAUUUUACUCUCAUUGCCUUGGGAAACAUUACUUAAACCAGAAGAAUCUAUUGCCCUCUUUACUUCACAGUGCUACAGAGAGGAUUACAUGAGCCAAUAUUUAUUCAAGAGAAAUGACAAAAAGACUGAGAAUCUCUGAGGUCCUUGGGUUUCCAGAGGUAUUCCUGCAAGGAACAGUCAAGCAGCAUCAAACCUUCAGACCUUCUGAAACAGCCUGGUUCCUCCCAGCACUGGGUCUGGUUCUGCCGCCCUCCUUUCCAACAUGUCACGUCAGUCAUCCUCCCAACAAAUUCAGUAGUUGGUUAAGCAAGCCAUAUACAGUGUUAGUUGACUGAAAUCAAAGCUCUAUAGCUAAUACCAGAGGAAAGCAAAGUUCUGAUUUUCAUAAGGUUUUGAAUGCUGUGCUAUGGAUUUUGGACUUUAUUUUGAAGGCAAUAAAGAUUGUAAUAAAGAUAGUAGCAUGAGUGAACUGGUUAAGAGAUUUGCCAAAAUGUCUAGCCAUUCAACUUCGUAAGUAUAUGAAAUUCUCCAUAGAAGUAUAAUGUUAAAUAAGUGGCCUUCAGUAAGGCAAAAACAAACAAACAAAAAAAUAGAUAGCUGCUCUUUCUAUUUCUGUUACUAUUAAAGAAAAUGUAGCUUUCCAAAUGACUUAAUUUUACUCAUGAAUGAAUGAAUAUUGAGUUAAUAACACUCUCCAUACUUUCCCUUUUUUAUAUAUAUAUAACUUGAGAUAAUAAUUGCUACUUAAAGUAGGAUGUUUAUAAAUACAUGGCAGUACUGUGUAUGCUUUCUUCUUUGUGGUUUUUAUAUGCUUUUAUACGUUCUGUGUAUGAAUGUUGAGGAGAACUUCUUUUAGAAUUAGUUAGAAUAAACUUGUUCAUUCUGAAAGCAUGUAUUUAAUGUGAUUCAUUUGGCCACCUUAACCAAAAAAUUAUUUUGUGUGUUUUAAAGGGGAAAAAGGAUUGUCAUAUGUUUAGCGUCUGAAUUAAUGUAGUCUUUCAUUGAGCAACUAUUCAUUAAGAUCAUCUAAUGCAAGGUGCUACACCAGGCACAUUAUAUGAUGAUUCAUUCUAUCAAUAAUUUCUUAAACAUCCAGCGAGCAAGGAGACAAUUGUACAUGUGCAUUGUUUUGCAAUCACAUUAACAAUUCUAAAAUUAGUCUUUUUGAAUAAAAUAUCUUCAAACUUUUGAACAAACAAAUAUCCCAGUGAUCUGGCAAAUUCCCAGAGCUCAUGUGUGACUGUGGGAGCUUUGUGUGUAACUGUGUGGUUUUUUUGUAAGUUGGAAGUCCACAAGAUAAAAAUAAGCCCUUGGUGCCCUCAUGACUUUAUUAGCUAUUGUACUCUGAAGACAACAAGCCUACAUGUUUUGAAAUUUACAAUUUCCUGGAGCAUUUCUACAAACAGUUUUGACAUAGUACAGAAUACUUGAUCAACUGUCACCCAAGGCAAUUUGAAGAAAAUACAGGAAAUGGAGGGUCUAUUCUGAACCCUGAAAAUGCAAGGUCUUCUCUUUUGCCAUGAUGAAGAAAAAUAAACCUUUCCCUUAUAGAGAAGAUCUAUGGAACACUGAUGUUGAAAUUCCAAGCUCUGCAUUACUAAGAUUUCUGGACAUCAUCACAAAGCCUCUAAGCCAUACUUGCAGCUCUUUGCAAAGCUUGCCAGAAGACGACUUUAGUGAGAACUGUAAUUUUAUGAUCGUAGACAUUACA
rnacentral:lncRNA from 1 species